rnacentral:rRNA from 1 species
UACGUAGGGUGCAAGCGUUGUUCGGAAUCAUUGGGCGUAAAGCGCGUGUAGGUGGCUAGUUAAGUCGGGUGUGAAAUCCCUGGGCUCAACCGAGGAAGUGCACUCGAUACUGGCUGGCUAGAAGAUAGUAGAGGAUGGUGGAAUUCCAAGUGUAGAGGUGAAAUUCGUAGAUAUUUGGAGGAAUACCGGCGGCGAAGGCGGCCAUCUGGGCUAUUCUUGACACUGAGACGCGAAAGCGUGGGGAGCAAACAGG